UCUUUCUCUCUCCUCUUUCUCUCUCCUCUUUCUCCAGGUGUUCCAUUACUUCCGGUCUGUUCUAGACCUGGUUCAGUUGGUGACGGUGGCAGAUAUUCCCAGCUUCCUGCGCUCCAGCACAGAGUUUCACCUAGAACUAUCCUCCAAAUCACUGAGAGAUAAACGGCUCCUUGAUCAGUUCAGAUCACUGUCUGGAAAGGUAGGGGCACUGUUCUCUCUAUCCUGUACGGUCAGCUCCAUGGCUCUACCCCUGCCUCUCAGCUCAGCUCCCAGAAGUGGAAGGCCUUCAUGGCUAAGAGGCCCAAGACCCUGCCUGUUCCAUAUGUGGAGGUGAAGGGUGAGAGAGGACACUACUUCCUGUUGGUCCAGGGGUCAGAGGGCGGAGGCUGCAAGGCCCGCAUGAUACACUCAGCCAAUCAGAUCAAUGGAGCCGCUGCCAUGGCAACCGUCAAUGGGCUUCUGAAAGAGAAUUCUGUGUCGUCU